rnacentral:rRNA from 1 species
AUUGAACGCUGGCGGCAUGCCUUACACAUGCAAGUCGAACGGUAACAGGUCUUCGGAUGCUGACGAGUGGCGAACGGGUGAGUAAUACAUCGGAACGUGCCCGAUCGUGGGGGAUAACGGAGCGAGAGCUUUGCUAAUACCGCAUACGAUCUACGGAUGAAAGCAGGGGACCGCAAGGCCUUGCGCGGACGGAGCGGCCGAUGGCAGAUUAGGUAGUGGGUGGGAUAAAAGCUUACCAAGCCGACGAUCUGUAGCUGGUCUGAGAGGACGACAAGCCACACUGGGACUGAGACACGGCCCAGACUCCUACGGGAGGCAGCAGUGGGGAAUUUUGGACAAUGGGCGAAAGCCUGAUCCAGCCAUGCCGCGUGCAGGAUGAAGGCCUUCGGGUUGUAAACUGCUUUUGUACGGAACGAAAAGCCUCUUUCUAAUAAAGAGAGGUCAUGACGGUACCGUGAGAAUAAGCACCGGCUAACUACGUGCCAGCAGCCGCCGUAAGAC